AAAAACCCUCGGGAUAGAGGAAUGUAAAGCGGCCACACAAACCGUCCACAUUCCUGGAACGAACAAGACAUUACAAUUCUGAUUUCAUGUCUCCAUGGUUUGAUGUCCGUUUUAUGCAGAAGUUUUGGAUUUGGACUUACAACCAAGACAAUGGCUGAAAGGUAAAAUGACUCUUUGAACUAUUUCCAUAGCUGUAUUUUUAUUUAAUUCAUGAGACGAAGUUAAUUGCAUGCUUAGUCAGGUGAAGGGACUCUUUGUGACAUUAUUACAUUGUAUUGAUUCUAACGGUGAUUUCAUAGUUAUUAUGUAUAAACAUAACACAUACCAUUAGUUUGCGGCCA